rnacentral:rRNA from 1 species
UACGUAGGGGGCAAGCGUUGUCCGGAUUUAUUGGGCGUAAAGAGCGUGUAGGCGGUCAGGUAGGUCGGUUGUGAAAACUGGAGGCUCAACCUUCAGAGGUCGACCGAAACCCCCUGGCUAGAGUCCUGGAGAGGCGAGUGGAAUUCCCGGUGUAGCGGUGAAAUGCGUAGAGAUCGGGAGGAACACCAGAGGCGAAGGCGGCUCGCUGGACAGGCACUGACACUCAACUACGAAAGCGUGGGGAGCAAACAGG